rnacentral:lncRNA from 1 species
UUAAUUUACAUGGCCCAAAGAAUUAAAUUUUAAGUCCAAUAUAUUAUUUAUUGAUAGCCCAAAAGAUGGAAAUGGUGACCCAAAUUUAAGCCCAAUUAAGGAGGGACAUAUUGGACAUUUGGUAUGCUAAAUAGGAAAUAAAAAAAAAAAGAAAAAGAAAUCAAAUAUUAAUGUGGAAAUGUCCAUUUUUACCCUUUUUGUCCCAUUUUGAUGAAUAAUUGCUAAAGAAUCCUAUGUUAUCUUACAAAUCUAGCAAAUUAUUGAAGGGGGAAUAAUUAUAACCUAGCAUGUGACUUAUAGCUCAAUUAUCAAUCAUCUAGAAUUUACUAGAUUCCUUGAAUUAUAACUUAUAUAGAUUAAAAGUGAGAAAAGCCUCACUUUAAUUAUCAAACUUGUCCAAGACUUAGAGAGGGAGAAAGAGAGAAAGAGAGAAGGGAGGAAUGGCAUUAUGAGAGAGUGAGAAGAGAUACCAUUCGGCAGCUCCAAGAGGAGAAGGAGAAGAAAAGACUUUGAUCUUCAUACACCUCAAGAUCCAUCUCAUAUCUUUGAAGAAGAAAGAAAAUCAAGCAAAGGUAUAAACCCUUUUUGUUUAUGUAAUUUUUGAUGGUUGUAAAUCAAACCUUGAAUCCAUAGUUCUACACUCAAAAACCUUAGAUAUAUGUGUUUAGUAGUUAACCUAAGUGGUAGAACUCAAAAAUCACGUUUCUAAAAGUCGUGGUGUUGAUUUAUGUGAAAACAGUCCCGUUUCUAGGAACUGUUUUGGAUCAGUCCGUAGCAGGGGCAUUUUCGUCCCCUUUUUGUGCUUUAUAAAUUCUGGAAAAAUUUGGGGUGUUAAUAUCAGUAGAUAUGCAGGUUGUGUAAAAAUUUGAGAAUUUUUGGCCAUACGGUUUGAGAGAUAUGGAUUUUACGGUGAAGGACCCCAAAACUGUUUUUUUUGGCCAAAACGUUGCUGCCACAAAAAGGAAAUUUCGGGGUUAGCUAGCCUGCUCUAAAAAUUCUGGGCUUUUGGUAUGUUAUAGUACACUCAAUAAGCUUUCCAUAGACUCCAAAACGGACUAAAUCCGACAUCGGAGGAGAGAGUUAUGAAAUUUCUCCCAAACUACUCAAAGGUAAGAAAAACUGUUAGAGCAACAGUUUUUAGCAGCCACUUCCGGGCUAAAUUCCGAGAGCUUAACAUGUCCAAAUAUGGAUUGUGAUAGAUGAAAACUGUAGUUCGGAAAGUUACGAAUCCAACAAAAUUGACGGAUCGUUAAUCGGAGUUACAGAUCUCGUUUUAUAUAAGUUUUAGCAAAGGACUCUUAAACUGUUUUAUGACAAAAAGUUGCUGUCCAAGAAAUGGUAGGGGCUGUUUUGGAAACUUAAAUUGUGAAAUAAAUUCUGGCCUUUUGGGAAAUGAAAAUAUAUGGUAUUAAGUACCUCGUGUCCAAAAAUGAGCUAAUUCCGGCUUAAAACGACCAAGUUAUGACCAUUUCAAUUUUUGUGAUUUUCCGACGGAAAUCGCUAUAACCGGAGUUCUACAACUCUGAUUGCCACGAAAUUUAAAAUGGAGCAUCACGUUAACAUAUAUAAGGUUAUGUCAAAAGAUGGGCAUCUCUGGAGUUAAGCACGAGGUAGCUAAUUUUCUUAAGUCACGCACUAAUUCUGAUUUUUGAAAAAUAGAAUUAAUGCUUUAAAAAUCAUAUAAAAAUGAUUUAUGUGUUAUAAAAAUAUUCUAAGUUAUAAACUAUAACUUUUGAUAUUUUGUCAUGAAAAUAUUAAUAUUUUAUUAUUAAUAUCAAUUAUCGGAUAAUGAUUUUAAGUGUUUAAAAAUCAUAUAAAUGUGAUUUUAAGGUAUUAAAAAUACCGUGAUAUAUUAUACAUUAUAUUAUAAUAUUAUGUAAUGAUUUUCAUUAAUAUUUGAUAUUAAAUAGAUAUUAAUGAUUAAAGAAUUAUGUGGUAUUUAAUUCAUUUAAAUACGUUAUUAAUGAUCGGAAAAUUUAGAUAAAUGAUAUUAAUUAUCUGAAAAAUAUUUCGAGCUUAUGAAAAUCAUUUAGACUGAUAAGAAAAUUAUCUGUGAUAUCGUCAAGUGUUUAGGCAGAGUUUAAUUAAACUUAGACUCCUUAAAUUGUCCGACUAGACCGUCGGGAUGAUAGAAUUGUACCGAUUUCAACUCGGACUGAAAUAGUUUGACUUGAAGCUAUGUCUUAUGUGUAUAAGAGACUGAUAAGAUUAUGUGGUAAUAUGUUUAAGUUAUUUUAUAACUGUGAUGAUAUUAUUCUAAUACUGGAGAUCUAUAUUAUUAAUAUUAGGUCUUCGGGAGAAGCUUAUUAUAUUGUGUUACGGUAAUCAACGGUUCAGGCAAGUUUUUAAGUUUUUCAAGUUCUUUUUACUUAAACUCUUUUAAGAGUGGUUUCAGACAGAUAUGCUUAUGAAUUGUACUCUGUACAUAUUGCAUGUAUUCAUCAGGUAUGAAAGGCUGAUCACCUUCAUUACCAGUCAGUUCAGAUAUAAUUGUUAUGUUCAUUUUCAAUGUUCAUUCAGCUUUGAAAUUUUGUUCAUGCUAAUUCACAACUACAUUGUGAAGGAUAGCCAGCUUAUUAUUCAAACUCUUUCAAUCAUGAUAUAUCUUUACCUUGUUUUUUUUAAACUUGCUGGGCAACUUUCAUGCUCACCCUUGCUAUAUCAUGAUAAAACAUUGCAGAUAAGGCGAAUACGGCCAGAUACAGGAAAAGGAUAAUGCCAAGUUCAGCUUGGGAUAGAAUGUGAAGUUAAGUUGUAAAGUAUGUUGAAGAAUAGUAUUGUCAUGUGCUAGAUAGUUCAUGAUUGUGUAUAAGUGAAGGUUACUCGAUUCUGGGGAAAUGUGUGUAAAGUUUAAUGUAUAAACAAUUUAUGUUUAUAUCUAAAGUAAAAAGUUAUAGAAAUUAGCGAACCGAAUCCGCGGCGAUUUGGGGCCCGGAUUCGGGGACGCUACAUUUAUGCCUUAAGAAACCUUGGGAAGACCUGUAACGAAAUCCAUAGUAAUGCUUUCCCAC